rnacentral:rRNA from 1 species
GUGGCGGACGGGUGAGUAACGCGUGAGAAUCUGCCCUCAGGAGGGGGAUAACGGUUGGAAACGACCGCUAAUACCCCAUAUGCCGAGAGGUGAAAUGAAUUUCGCCUGAGGAUGAGCUCGCGUCUGAUUAGUUAGUUGGUGGGGUAAUGGCCUACCAAGACAUCGAUCAGUAGCUGGUCUGAGAGGAUGAUCAGCCACACUGGGACUGAGACACGGCCCAGACUCCUACGGGAGGCAGCAGUGGGGAAUUUUCCGCAAUGGGCGAAAGCCUGACGGAGCAACGCCGCGUGAGGGAUGAAGGCCUCUGGGCUGUAAACCUCUUUUAUCAAGGAAGAAGAUCUGACGGUACUUGAUGAAUAAGCCACGGCUAAUUCCGUGCCAGCAGCCGCGGUAAUACGGGAGUGGCAAGCGUUAUCCGGAAUUAUUGGGCGUAAAGCGUCCGCAGGCGGUCUGUCAAGUCUGCUGUUAAAGCGUGGAGCUUAACUCCAUUUCGGCAGUGGAAACUGACAGGCUAGAGUGUGGUAGGGGCAGAGGGAAUUCCCGGUGUAGCGGUGAAAUGCGUAGAUAUCGGGAAGAACACCAGUGGCGAAGGCGCUCUGCUGGGCCAUAACUGACGCUCAUGGACGAAAGCCAGGGGAGCGAAAGGGAUUAGAUACCCCUGUAGUCCUGGCCGUAAACGAUGAACACUAGGUGUCGGGGGAAUCGACCCCCUCGGUGUCGUAGCCAACGCGUUAAGUGUUCCGCCUGGGGAGUACGCACGCAAGUGUGAAACUCAAAGGAAUUGACGGGGGCCCGCACAAGCGGUGGAGUAUGUGGUUUAAUUCGAUGCAACGCGAAGAACCUUACCAGGGUUUGACAUCCUGCGAAUCUUUUGGAAACGAGAGAGUGCCUUCGGGAACGCAGUGACAGG